rnacentral:rRNA from 1 species
CCUACGGGGGGCAGCAGUGAGGAAUAUUGGUCAAUGGACGAGAGUCUGAACCAGCCAAGUAGCGUGAAGGAUGACUGCCCUAUGGGUUGUAAACUUCUUUUAUAUGGGAAUAAAAUGUUCCACGUGUGGGAUUUUGUAUGUACCAUAUGAAUAAGGAUCGGCUAACGCCGUGCCAGCAGCCGCGGUAAUACGGGGGAUCCGAGCGUUAUCCGGAUUUAUUGGGUUUAAAGGGAGCGUAGGUGGUUUGUUAAGUCAGUUGUGAAAGUUUGCGGCUCAACCGGAAAACUGCAGUUGAAACUGGCAGUCUUGAGUACAGUAGAGGUGGGCGGAAUUCGUGGUGUAGCGGUGAAAUGCUUAGAUAUCACGAAGAACUCCGAUUGCGAAGGCAGUUCACUGGACUGCAACUGACACUGAGGCUCGAAAGUGUGGGUAUCAAACAGGAUUAGAUACCCGAGUAGUC